rnacentral:tRNA from 1 species
CAGAUUUUAGUUUAUAAAAAUAUUAAUUUUGGAGAUUAAAGAUAAUUGUUAAAUUAAAUCUGA